GACUGCUUUCUCUCCUCAAAACACAGCCCACCCCCUCUGCCAUCUGAUCAUCACUUCUUUUCCUGUACCCUCAAAGCUUCAGGCCUGGGGUGGGGGGCGGGGAAGCACUUCUCUGCAAUUCUGUUCUCAUUUUGCGUAUAAGUCCUGGGCCCCUCCAGAGAUACAUUUUGUUUUUCUUUUUCAUUUCUGGGUUUCUGAGUGGGUCUGGGCCCCGCUCUUCAUAGCCACCAGCCUGUGGUUGGAGAUUAAUUAAAUUUCAAGGACACAAGAGCCCAGGCCACAGCUCCACUGGCCUGCAGGGCGUCCAUGCUCCACAUGGCUCAGCACACAAAUGCAUGUGCCGUCCACCCUCCCCACCUCUGCACCUAACCUGCUGGCUUCUGACUCAACCGACCGAGCUCAGCGGAGAUUCCUGACAGCUUCUGAACACUGGGAAAUGAGAAGAAACCCUGCUACCUCCACUCAUCCUGUGGAAUAUUUCUAGAUUUGCCUAUUCCAGUCUAUUUCGUAGAAACAAAAAUCAUACGCAAGCUCUCAAUUACAAAACAUCAAACUACUCUUGAAAAUGCCAGCCACCGGCACCGGACGGAGAAGCCCACAAGGAAGGACAGAGAGCGGCAGGUGACAAGAGGUGGGAAGUGAUUCAAGCAGUGGUUACAAAUGUUCACAGGAAGCUAAAGCUCUCCAGCAGGUUGUGCCCUAACGUUAGCACAGGUUAGGCUGGUCACUACCUCGGCGAGUGGCUUCAGUGUGUUCGGGUUCAGCGUCUACACGCCAAUACAACUUCUUCCAGUUAUGAGCUCUUGGCUUGCACUGAUCACAGGAUGGCCAGAGGACACCAGACCAGUUUGUCAGUUUUUCAAAAUGCUGUCAUAGACCCAAGAGAUGUACUGGGAGACUUCAGGAGCUCCACACUUCAGUGACAGCGAGUGACUGGGAUUUCCUGGCGGGAUACGUAGCUCGGCCAAAAUCCAAACGCCAUUAGUGAGCUUCAGGGAUUGGUACGGCAUGUCCUGCCCUUCCAGGUUCCUCUCGGCAAUAGUAUAAACAUUGUUGUUUUGCAACUUGCUGGAAACAGUGUCAGCAUUUAAAUGACAUUCCUUUAUCUGAAACUUUGUCCCUGGUGAGGCAUAAGAACUGGGUGCCCCUCUGGGGUACAGUUUCUUGACAUACAAAUUAACCUUGGAUGUGAACAGACAAUUUAUAGAAGAAAGAGAAUUUGCAGAAACGCACAAGGGAAAUUUUUCAAACAGGUGACAAAACACUUUGAUUCAAACAGUGGGAUACUCUGUUAAAUAUGAAAUUUAGAUGAUCAAGCUAUAAAUUUAAAUGCAACUGGGAAAAGAUUAAAUUAGGAAAAAACUUUUCCAGCGGUGGUACUGUAAAUUGGUACAUACACCCUUUUGGAAAACAACGUGGCCAAAUGAAGUAAGUCAUAAAAAGGCUUAUAUCCUUAGACCCUGUAGUAUCACACCUGGGAAUUGAUCCAAAGGAAAAACAACUUUAGAGACGGGAAAAGGCACAUUGAGACACUCCCUUUGGUGUUAUCUGUCUGAGGAAUGCUGCUGAUAACAAAUAUCCGAAGAGACAGGACUAUGAGUAAACACUGAUAUAUUCCUUCAAAGCAAUGAGUAUGAACAAGGGCUGAAAAGUUUUGGGGUACGAAGUGCGUGAAUACAUUUUUUGUUCUUCUAUACAGAACCCAGUAAAACUGUAAUCAUGGCCUGUGAGCAGUCAAUAACUGUUUACAAAAUAAACUUUCAGAACAGGUAAUGGGUCAGGACUGCUGAACGGCGAGCCAACCGUGAUGGAAGUCCUGAAGACAAUGAGGGUGCCACUUGGAAGGAUUAUCUGAGAAGCCAACUGUGCAUGGUCGAUGUCAGAAGUAAACGUGCAGAUGCUCUAAAAAUGUCAAUGUCCAGGGGAGGGUAUAGCUCAAGUGGUAGAAUGCGUGCUUAGCAUGCAUGAGGUCCUGAGUUCAAUCCCCAUUACCUCCUCUAAAAAUCAGUACACCUAAUUACCUCCACUGCAAAAUAAAA